rnacentral:rRNA from 1 species
UACAGAGGGGGCAAGCGUUGUUCGGAAUUACUGGGCGUAAAGGGCGCGUAGGUGGCCUUCUAAGUUGAACGUGAAAUCCCUGGGCUCAACCCAGGAACUGUGUCCAAGACUGGGAGGCUUGAAUCCGGGAGAGGGAUGCGGAAUUCCAGGUGUAGCGGUGAAAUGCGUAGAUAUCUGGAGGAACACCGGUGGCGAAGGCGGCAUCCUGGACCGGUAUUGACACUGAGGCGCGAAAGCCAGGGGAGCAAACAGG